rnacentral:rRNA from 1 species
GACGAACGCUGGCGGCGUGCUUAACACAUGCAAGUCGAACGGAAAGGCCCUGCUUUUGUGGGGUGCUCGAGUGGCGAACGGGUGAGUAACACGUGAGUAACCUGCCCUUGACUUUGGGAUAACUUCAGGAAACUGGGGCUAAUACCGGAUAGGAGCUCCUGCUGCAUGGUGGGGGUUGGAAAGUUUCGGCGGUUGGGGAUGGACUCGCGGCUUAUCAGCUUGUUGGUGGGGUAGUGGCUUACCAAGGCUUUGACGGGUAGCCGGCCUGAGAGGGUGACCGGCCACAUUGGGACUGAGAUACGGCCCAGACUCCUACGGGAGGCAGCAGUGGGGAAUAUUGCACAAUGGGCGGAAGCCUGAUGCAGCAACGCCGCGUGCGGGAUGACGGCCUUCGGGUUGUAAACCGCUGUCGCCUGUGACGAAGAGUGAGUGACGGUAAUGGGUAAAGAAGCACCGGCUAACUACGUG